GGAGACGCCAGCCGACUGGCGCCGGCCACCGUCUCGAAAACGGUCGGGGGUGACACCCGUGGGCGUUCGACUCGCCCCGUCUCCG
rnacentral:tRNA from 1 species